AGUGCGAAGAAGAGAU
rnacentral:sRNA from 1 species